GACGAACGCUGGCGGCGUGCUUAACACAUGCAAGUCGAACGGUGAAGCGCCUUCCUUUUUGGUGGGUGUGGAUGAGUGGCGAACGGGUGAGUAACACGUGAGUAACCUGCCCCCUUCUUCUGGAUAACCGCAUGAAAGUGUGGCUAAUACGGGAUAUUCUGGGUCUGUCGCAUGAUGGGUCUGGGAAAGAUAUUGUUUCGGUGGGGGAUGGGCUCGCGGCCUAUCAGCUUGUUGAUGGGGUGAUGGCCUACCAAGGCGGUGACGGGUAGCCGGCCUGAGAGGGUGGACGGUCACACUGGGACUGAGACACGGCCCAGACUCCUACGGGAGGCAGCAGUGGGGAAUAUUGCACAAUGGGCGCAAGCCUGAUGCAGCGACGCCGCGUGAGGGAUGGAGGCCUUCGGGUUGUGAACCUCUUUCGCCAGUGAAGCAGGCCUGCCUCGUUUGUGGGUGGGUUGACGGUAGCUGGAUAAGAAGCGCCGGCUAACUACGUG
rnacentral:rRNA from 1 species